GCUGGGCGUGGUGGUGCGUGCCUGUAAUCCCAGCUACUCAGGAGGCUGAGGCAGGAGAAUCGCUUGGGCCUGGGAGACGGAGGUUGCAGUGAGCUAAGAUGGCACCACUGCACUCCAGCCUGGGCAACAGAGUGAGACUCCGUCUCAA
rnacentral:SRP_RNA from 1 species